GUUAUUAAAAAUUUAAUUAGUUAAAUAAAUGAGUCAUUUAAAUAAGUUUUGUACAAUAAAUUUUGUAAUAAGUUUAUAUUAUUUUAAGUUUAAUUAAAAUUAUAAAAAUAAAAUCUAGUUAAAGUAAUUAAAAUAAAAUAAUUAUUAAUAUUAUAGGAAAAGUAAUGUAAGUGAAUAAUAUAUAUAUAUCCAUGAUGUGAUAGGAAAUAUAAAUAAGUAAAUUUAAUUUAUUGUAUCUUUGGUAUCAGGGUUAAUUAAAUGAAAGUUUAAAAUUAAAAAUAAUCUCGAAAGAAAAAGAGUUAAAUAAUUAUGAAAGUUAAUGUGGUAAAGUUAUUUUGAAUAAUUAUUUAGGGGAGAUAUUUUAGUCAAGUUUUUUGAUAUCUAGUUUUUUUUGAUUUAAUUUAAUUUUAAUAUAUAAUAAGGGAUAGUUUAUAAUUAAUUAAGAUUUGAAUCAAUAAUAAGAGGUAAAAUUUAAUAAAUAUAGAGUUAAAGAAAUGAUAUAUAUUAAAAAUUUAUGGGAUAAACUAUAAAUUUAAAAUUAAAAUUAAUUUAGUUUAAAAGUGAAAUUAAGUUUAUAUAAAUAUUCAUAAAAUUUGAAUUUUUUAUAAAUAAUUUAAUAAUUUAUAAAAUUUAUAAUAAUUUAGAAAAUUUAAAAUUUUAGAUUUAAUUGAAUAAAAAAAUAUUUAAAAUAAUAAAAUUUUUAAAGUAAAAAUGAUUAAAUUAGUAUUAAAUUAAAAAAUUGUGAAAUAUAUAUUAUUUAAAAUUUAUUAAAGGAAUUAGGCAAAUAAUAUUAGAUUAGUAGAUAUAUUAAUUUAAUUUUAAAUUCAUCUGUUUAAUAAAAACAUAGUUUUAUGAUGUAGUAUAUAAGAUUAAUUCUGCUCCAUGAUAGUGAAGUUAAAUAGCCGCAGUAUAUUGACUGUGCAAAGGUAGCAUAAUCAGUUGUCUCUUAAUUGGGGACUAGUAUGAAGGAAUAAAUGAAAUUUAAACUGUCUUUAAUAUAGAAUUUAAAAAUUUAAAUUUUUAGUAAGAAUGCUAAGAUAAGAUUAUGGGACGAGAAGACCCUAUAGAAUUUUAUAUAAAAUUUAAAUAGAUUAAUUAUAAGUUUAAUUUUUAUAUUUAAUUGGGAGGAUUAUUAAAUUUAAAGAACUUUAAGAUGAAAAAGUAACAUUAAUUUAUGAGAUUAAAAAAGGAAGAAUAAGAUUUUUAAAAUUUUAUAGUAGAAUUAAUUACCUUAGGGAUAACAGCGUAAUAUUUUUAAAAAGAUCAUAUUGAUAAGAGUGAUUGCGACCUCGAUGUUGAAUUAAAAUAAAAAUUAAAUGGAGAAGUUUAAUAUUUUAGUCUGUUCGACUAUUAAAAUUUUACAUGAUUUGAGUUUAGAUCGGCGUGAGCCAGAUCGGAUUCUAUCUAUAAUUAUGUGGAAACAAUUUUGUACGAAAGGACUAAUUGUUUAAAAUUUUUUUUAUGAUAAUGAUUAGUAAUAAAUUUUAAUUGAAUA
rnacentral:rRNA from 1 species